GUGUUCACUUCAGCAGCUGAUUUACAAAACCUAGGCCAAUAGAAAGAAGAUUAACACGGUCCGUGAGCAAGGAUGAUGCAAAUUUGUGAAGCAUUCCAUAUUUUU
rnacentral:snRNA from 1 species